rnacentral:rRNA from 1 species
AACGAACGCUGGCGGCAGGCUUAAUACAUGCAAGUCGAGCGGGCACUUCGGUGUCAGCGGCGCACGGGUGCGUAACGCGUGGGAACAUGCCUUUAGGUACGGAACAACCAAGGGGAACCUUGGCUAAUUCCGGUAAAUUUUCCCUGAUACAAGAUUUAUCGUCCAAAGAUUGGCCCGCGAUCGAUUAGGUUGUUGGUGGGGUAAUGGCCUACCAAGGCGACGAUCUAUAGGGGGGUUGAGAGGAAGAUCCCCCACACUGGAACUGAGACACGGUCCAGACUCCUACGGGAGGCAGCAGUAAGGAAUAUUGGACAAUGGGCGGAAGCCUGAUCCAGCCAUGCCGCGUGAGUGAUGAAGGCCUUAGGGUUGUAAAGCUCUUUUAGAUGGGAAGAUAAUGACGGUACCAUCAGAAUAAGCCCCGGCUAAAUUCGUG